CCUCAUGAAAGAGGCGCCACCAUGGUCGGAGCUCAACCUUUGGUCGAGAGCUACAAUGUGCCGAUAUUCUGCAAGGAUGUCCCGACCGUGAGAAGAAUCACCCGGAGGGUAACUGGACGGAGCGGAGGGCUCCCUUCAGUACAGGCACUUGCGCUUUUCCAUGGCGACAAUUGCACGGAGAUCGCAUGCUUUUUGCUGGAUCCAGACCACGUCGGCGCCGAUCGGGUUCAAUGGCUGGUGGAGCAGAUUGCAGAAGAGCAAGGGCUUGAAGUUGACAAGGGCUAUUUCACCGACCUGUCAAAGCAUAUGAUGCUAGAAAGGUACUCCGAGAUGGUUUCUGCAGCUGACUGACCUGUUGAAUUUCGUGCCGACACUCUUGUAAUCAUGCAUGCCUGCACUUCCAUGUAUGCUGCUGUUUAAACUGUGGCACCAACUUGGACUCCGGACCGACCAAUUCCGAAAUUUUGUAUAUACUUAGUUAUAUCUGCACUAGAGGUGGUUCUCUGGAAACUUCGCCGCAGUAAUUGGCGCAUAACAGGUCUCAUCACUGAAUGAGAAUGUUGUUUUCAGUAAUUAAAGUCUGGCAACUUGGCAAGGCAGUAUUCCUUAAUGCCAACUGACAAAAUGCUUUUCGGGGGUGGAGGGGGUGGGGGGCACACAUUUUUGCGUAGAAUUUUGGAACAGAAAAGAUUAGAGGGUAAAAAUUAUUAUAUAAAUAUAUGUGAAAAUAUGAAUAAUUUAAGUUAUUUUGUCUCAGUUUGUACCAUGCACUACAAUAUAUUUAGAAUGCUGCUGUAGGAGGGGGCACUUCAAAGUUCAAAUAGCCAUCAAAUAUCUUUGUGUAAGUCAGCUUGCAGGAGAUUUACAAGUCCUUUUGCAGAUUCCAUAAGAUUGAAGGAAGAUAAGGAAAACAUUAAAAAGAUGGUGAGUAAAAAUUAUGGACAAUGAAGCAAAGUAGGGAAAUGAGCGAGUACUGGAUUCAGCAUUUGGACAGUAGCAUAAAUCUAUAAUCUUGGGUACCAUAUGGUAGGGAAGACCGGAGGCGGAGGAAAGAACCAUCAUGCUUUAGAUAGACCUUUUGCGGCAGCAUGUACCUGUCAAAUGGGUAAUCAAGCAUCCUCACGUGAUCAUCUAAAUUCACAUAAUGAGCAAUUGUGGCAGUUGUACUAGCAACAUCAACAGCAAUGGACAAAAACCGCACUAAGAAUCUACGGAUGAAAAGGAAGGGCAUAUCAAAAACUCCAAAGUUUCUUAAAGAUAGACCAUGUAAGUAGAUUCAAUAUCUUUAUCGGGAAAAAGAUGUAGAUUCAAUUACUGAGAAAAGAAUAAUACAAAUAAAUGAGCGAUUAACUUCAAUGUUGGAGGUGGAGGCGGAGUGCGCGCCACUGGAGGCCAAUGGCGUCCGUGCGCCAGGCGGCGGUGAGGAGCACGGCAAGGCAGACAGAGUGACCGCGAAAGGAAAGGCCCCAAAACGCGCGGUGGGCUGGCAGCCGGCCCACGAAUGGUUUUCUGGUUCCUUUUUUAUUUCCGAUUAAAAAUAUAUUUAAUGUAAAAAAUAUUUUAUUUUUUAGAAAUUUUGAGAUAUUCAUAUAUCAAUUAAUUUUACUUUUUAAAAAUAUNNNNNNNNNNNNNNNNNNNNNNNNNNNNNNNNNNNNNNNNNNNNNNNNNNNNNNNNNNNNNNNNNNNNNNNNNNNNNNNNNNNNNNNNNNNNNNNNNNNNNNNNNNNNNNNNNNNNNNNNNNNNNNNNNNNNNNNNNNNNNNNNNNNNNNNNNNNNNNNNNNNNNNNNNNNNNNNNNNNNNNNNNNNNNNNNNNNNNNNNNNNNNNNNNNNNNNNNNNNNNNNNNNNNNNNNNNNNNNNNNNNNNNNNNNNNNNNNNNNNNNNNNNNNNNNNNNNNNNNNNNNNNNNNNNNNNNNNNNNNNNNNNNNNNNNNNNNNNNNNNNNNNNNNNNNNNNNNNNNNAAAAGAACCAGAGAAGAAUGCCCAAGAAAACAUAACAAACUGAUCUUCAGCUCGUGUCUAGUGGUCCACCGAAGAAUUGGAGAUUCCACACGAGAGCUCACGAGACACAGGUUUUUUUUAGAAAGGUCGCACUUCAUUAUUUGAAGUUUACAAAAAUUGGACAUAAUGGGUCAUGGGGCUGGCCUAGCCAAAUAUGACGCCCGUGAUCGAAUGAAUGAGAGAAUUUAGCUAGCAAAUGUGCUUCAUAAUUUGGUGUUCUUCUCUACUUCUCUACUAUUAUUAAACAAGAAAGCAUAUUCAUGGCUAACUCCACCCAUUUUAGGCUACACAUAACAACACAGAGAAAUUAUAGCCCCUCGAUCAGAUCACUUCAUUUGAUCUAACCAUUCAGAUUACACUAACCCUCAGUUAAAACUGCGUUUAGCAAUUAACGGUGGUGGACGAUACUCUGUCGAGCGAAGGAAAUUUACCACGCCACGCUCAGUUCGCAAAGAAAUAAAACUAUCUCGAUCUGGAUCAUGUUUGUCCAUCAUUUUCCACGUGACACCCCAACCGCACCGCCUCCCCACGCGAGGGUGUCGGACCUGCACUUCCUCGGGCUCCACCGCGACAACCACUGCGGAUCCAUCUGGAUCUAGGUGAAGCGGAGAACGUAUCGCUGUCAGGUACAUGGCCUCCUCACUAGGGUUUCAAAAAUUGGGUGGCGGCCGAGGAGGCGAGACUCUCCGGGAGGGACGAUGGAAGGCAACCGGGAGGGGACGCGCAUAACGACCCGGAAAACAUCCGCCCUCACCCGCUUGGCGAAGGACAGGGCAAUAGCUGCUUCCGGGAUGUGAUGAUCCCUCUGCCCCGUUCGCCUCCUCACCACCCCAACGCUCGCCAUCACAGGGUUGCCCCCCUCAUGCUUGGCCCUCAACUCUGCCAACAGGGAGGUAAAUAGGAUUUGUGAGUUCCUUUUUUGUUUUUGUUGAUUGUAAUGUUAAAUAUGGCUCCUGAUUGAAUACAGACUUUAUUACUAGACAAGAGACUAGAUCAAAAGUGAUUGUUCUCAGUAAUCUUCAAGGAAUUAGCACAAGGGAAGAAAAACUUAUUUGUCCACGUCAGCGAGACGCCGUCAAAAGUGACCGUUGACAUUUUGUAUAUAUCUUUUGCCACCGAAUACAGGAGUCACCUCGGUUCACAUGACCGAUCAUCAAAUCAUCACGAACGAGCUCUAGUAACCGAAAAGAAAAACCAGCGGCAGAGCAGAUGGCUACAUGAGCAUAUCAACGUGGAAAACGAUGGCUCAUUUCAGAUCACAAAUGCUUUUCUAAGGCCAUGUUUGCUUUAGCUUUUAUCGACGGAUUCCGCUGCCACGCAGCAGAAUCUGAACCAAAGGGCGAACCCAGCAGAAUUCGAUUCCAGAAAUCCGCUGCCAAAAUCUGAAUUAAAAGUGGAAGCAGCCCAGGACGUGCUUUCCAAAAUUUGAUUCCGCUUCGGGCCAAAAUCUAAAAAAGCUGUAUCAGCUGGUUUGCCAAAUGACCUACAUAUUUUUCACAUCAGAUUUUCCAUAACUGUUUUUUUCACAGCUGUUUUUUCACAGCUGCUUUUAGAAAUCCACAGCCGAACGCCUAAGAUCCACGUGACCGCCGCUUACGGCCGCACAGUCCUAUCCAGAGAGCAGUGUACCCAUCGAUACAGGUCAGAUGUUUGUCCCGUUUCCCAUCAGCGACCUAUCUCACUUUGCCUCCUCAUGAUCAGGACGACGUACGCCGCUGAUCAGAGUCACGGAUUGCUCUUCUCGAGACGUCAGAGCAUGCAGAGCCCUCCGGACGAAAUAUCUUGGAUCGGUUACGAAAUUGAUACACAGAAUGCAACCUGCAAAGCAGCAAUUCGACCAUAUAUAUAUUUCUUUUAUUUUUAACAGAGAUAUUUCAUUUAUUUAGCAACAGCGUACAUGUACAAUUGUGCAGUUAAGCACAGUAGAAAGAGCAGCUACAACUGCAUUGAGGCAGGCUUCAUUGCCUACUCCUAAGCAUCUGAACCUGUAAGGUGUAUUCUGAAUUUUGAGAGCAAGCUUGGCAUGAUGAUGAGCACGAAAAUUAUAGCCUCUGUUUUUUUCCCGAAAAGGUGGCCUCUGUUAAUGUGGUAGAGCCUUGUGAUAUCAAACGCCGAGGAACCUGUAAUAUGUGCGAGCUGAGGUCUGAUUGUCCAAUGACCUGGAUCUGAGAUGAGGUCUUGAGAAACUACAGCUGACGCCAAUGUCGCACAGUCUGUUAGGAAAGUGGCAUGUUGAAGAUGGAGUAGCUGCGCAAUCUGGGAAGCAAGCAUCAUGCUGAAUGCUUCAGCCUUCAGCCUGGAUGGCCGACGCCAGUGGUGGCCAAGUGGCUGAUAUGCACAGCUGAGAGCAGCUUCUAUCACCUGCAAACUGGAUAAAAACUCCUAUUCCUGCAAUUGCCGGUCCCCCUUUAGGUCCUAGAGUCCAGGAAGCAUCUGAAAAUACUAUGGGACCUGUAAUGUUGGUCAGAUCCAUGAUUGUUUUUCCUGGAGAUGGCAGCACACUGUGAGUAAGAACAGCUCCUCUUUGCCCAGAUGCGUCCACAGCCUUAUUCCCCUUCAAGUUUGGCCAGCUAGUUGCGCUGCUAGCCUGAGACGUAUUUGUUGCCUCCAAAUUUGCACCUUGCAUGAUUGCUGCUGCCGCUGCAUGUACCUGAGGAGUGUGGAAUUUCCUGCAAAAACGUGCGUCGUUCCGAAAUUUCCAAAUGCACCACAGAAAAGUAUAAAGUGAUGUUAUAUUUAUUUGUGGGUGAUUGGAAGUAAUCAAAGCUUCGAUCAUAUUUGGAACUGAGUGAUUGUGAUGGGCUAAUAAUUCAUAUACCAAGCUGCUUUAGCAAAAGGACAUAAAAGGAAGAGAUGCAUUUCAUUUCCAAGAUUUCCACAAGUAGAACAACUUUCACUGAUAUACUUAGAAUACUUACCUGCCCUUUACCUGUAGCUAGUGCGUUGCGAUGAAACCUCCAUGCAAAAGUCUGGUAUCAGUCCAGCUAUUCGACUGUAGGAGGCCCGAUCUCCUUUAUCUUAAGAGGGAUAGUGCAGGACGGCCAUGAGCACACCACACACACUCAGGUCCAACAAGGUUCAGUUAUUUGGCAAAAUAUAUGGACAUUUCAAGAUGCAGAGAGCUAUCAUGCCAUUAAUUCCAGUCCCUUCUCGUGACGGUUUUCAACGAACAACGUGGACAAUGACAUUGCACUGGCCAACUAGAUGUGGUUACCAAACAAGAUUUCAUUAUCCAAAACCAAAAGUGAUGAAGUACAGUGAGAGACAAGGUUUGUGAGUGAUGAAUCAAGAGAUUCAACGGUGACAAGGUUCCGUGUGCAUAAGAAAAAUGGUUUUCCAGAGGCCGGUGGCAUGCUGCUGUGGUGGAACCAAAGAUAAUUAUGCAAGUAUAUGUAGGGGGGUGCUGAGUCAUAAAGCUGAUCGAAGAGCACAUGCUCCGUCCUUGCUCUCAUGGUUGGGGCUCACUCAGAGACGAACAAGACAAGGACAAAAAGGUUUCUUGCAAGCAACUUUUUGAUUCAUAAGAAGGCAUUGCUCUACCACUCCACUCCAUUCCCCACCGGCGAGAGAGACUCAGAUUGAGGUAGAGCGGAAGGCAUGGAGGGCAAGCGCACCGACCAGGUAUGUUCUGGUACCCAGACCCCCCCUCCAGUUCCUCAAGAUUUGAACCAGGAUUUUUAGUUUAGAUAGAAGCUAGAACAGACAGAGUGCGAAAAACUUGAGUUAUUCAGCCAUAUAUGAACUUUCUAAAUUCUAAUUCCUGUUUCUUGUGGUCACAUGAAAAGAAAAUCUGCUGAGAUUCUCAUACAGAUGCUAAAACUAGCUGAUUUCUGCUGUCUCUGGAUCGAUUGCGCAAUCAGAUACAUGUUCUAGAUACUACUCCCUCCAUCCCAUAAUAUAAGAGUGUUUUUGACACUAGUGUAGUGUCAAAAACGCUUUUUUAUUAUGGGACAGAGGGAGUAGGAAUUAAGCCAUCCAGUACUAUAUCAAAGUAAAAAGAACAAGAAAUUUCAAUUUAUCCUCACCUGAAUCCCUGCCCUGUUCAAUUUAUACCAAAGUACAAGAUGGCGAAGAAGGCCGCAAAGCGAGCUGUUGGUGAAGCAAGGGGUCGGGCAUAUGAGGACCUCUACCAACGGUUAGGCACGAAGGAAGGUGAAAGGGACAUCUAUAAGAUGGCUAAGAUCCGGGAGAGGAAGACGAGGGAUAUUGGCCAAGUCAAAUGCAUCAAGGACGGAGCAGGCCAACUCUUGGUGAAGGACGAAGAGAUUAAGCAUAGAUGGCGGGAGUACUUCGACAAGCUGUUCAAUGGGGAGAAUGAGAGUUCUACCAUUGAACUGAAUGACUCCUUUGAUGAGACCAGCAUGCGUUUUGUGCGGCGCGUCCAGGAGUCUGAGGUGAAGGAGGCUUUAAAAAGGAUGAAAGGAGGCAAGGCGAUGGGCCCUGAUUGUAUCCCCAUUGAGGUGUGGAAAGGUCUCGGGGACAUAGCGAUAGUAUGGCUAACCAAGCUUCUCAACCUCAUUUUUCGGGCAAACAAGAUGCCAGAAGAAUGGAGACGGAGUAUUUUAGUACCAAUCUUCAAGAACAAGGGGGAUGUUCAGAGUUGUACUAAUUACCGUGGAAUUAAGCUGAUGAGCCAUACAAUGAAGCUAUGGGAGAGAGUCAUUGAGCACCGCUUAAGAAGAAUGACAAGCGUGACCAAAAAUCAGUUUGGUUUCAUGCCUGGGAGGUCGACCAUGGAAGCCAUUUUCUUGGUACGACAACUUAUGGAGAGAUAUAGGGAGCAUAAGAAGGACUUGCAUAUGGUGUUCAUUGACUUGGAGAAGGCCUAUGAUAAGAUACCGCGGAAUGUCAUGUGGUGGGCCUUGGAGAAACACAAAGUCCCAGCAAAGUACAUUACCCUCAUCAAGGACAUGUACAAUAAUGUUGUGACAAGUGUUCGAACAAGUGAUGUCGACACCGAUGACUUCCCGAUUAAGAUAGGACUGCAUCAGGGGUCAGCUUUGAGCCCUUAUCUUUUUGCAUUGGUGAUGGAUGAGGUCACAAGGGGUAUACAAGGAGAUAUCCCAUGGUGUAUGCUCUUUGCGGAUGAUGUGGUGCUAGUUGACGAUAGUCGGACAGGGGUAAAUAGGAAGUUAGAGUUAUGGAGACAAACCUUGGAAUCGAAAGGGUUUAGGCUUAGUAGAACUAAAACCGAGUACAUGAUGUGCGGUUUCAGUACUACUAGCUGUGAGGAGGAGGAGGUUAGCCUUGAUGGCCAGGUGGUACCUCGGAAGGACACCUUUCGGUAUUUGGGAUCAAUGUUGCAGGAGGAUGGGGGUAUUGAUGAAGAUGUGAACCAUCGAAUCAAAGCCGGAUGGAUGAAGUGGCGCCAAGCUUCUGGCAUUCUCUGUGACAAGAGAGAGCCACAAAAGCUAAAAGGCAAGUUCUACAGGACGGCGGUUCGACCCGCAAUGUUGUAUGGCGCGGAGUGUUGGCCGACUAAAAGGCGACAUGUUCAACAGUUAGGUGUGGCGGAGAUGCGUAUGUUGAGAUGGAUGUGUGGCCACACGAGGAAGGAUCGAGUCCGGAAUGAUGAUAUACGAGAUAGAGUUGGGGUAGCACCAAUUGAGGAGAAGCUUGUCCAACAUCGUUUGAGAUGGUUUGGGCAUAUUCAGCGCAGGCCUCCAGAAGCUCCAGUGCAUAGCGGACGGCUAAAGCGUGCGGAGAAUGUCAAGAGAGGGCGGGGUCGACCGAUUUUGACAUGGGAGGAGUCCGUUAAGAGAGACCUGAAGGAUUGGAGUAUCGACAAAGAGCUAGCUAUGGACAGGGGUGCGUGGAAGCUUGCUAUCCAUGUGCCAGAGCCAUGAGUUGGUUGCGAGAUCUUAUGGGUUUCAUCUCUAGCCUAUCCCAACUUGUUUGGGGAGUAAAGGCUUUGUUGUUGUUGUUGUUGUUGAAUCCCUGCCCUGUUCAUCUGCUCCAAAGGCAAAGCUCAGCACGAUGCACCCAAAGGUUAUCUGCUGCAAGCUCUACAUCUCUGAAAGCCAAAAUGGGGCUGUUGUCGAUUCCAUCAGCCGCAUAGGCCAGAAAGACCCUGAGGUGGUUUUGCUCAGCAAGUUCGAGGACGAGUACUACAACCGUGUCCGCUACACGCUCGUCUCCUACAUCACCAGCGAAAGCUCAACCGGUGAAGCUGUAUUUAGCCCAAUCAGGAAGGUGUUGCUGGCGAUGAUCGAGGCUGCAUUUUCAGCCAUAAAUCUCGAAGUGCACAGUGGAACUCAUCCAAGGAUUGGUGUCGUCGAUGACAUGUCGUUCCAUCCCCUGAGUCAAGCAGCCACCAUGGAGGAUGCUGCACAGCUGGCUAAGCUGGUGGCCUCUGACAUUGGAAAUGGCUUGCAAGGUAGUGUUCUUCACCAAGAUUUUCUUCUGUCAGUAACAAAUGAGAUGAUACACUGUAUACAUAUUCUGACCCUCUUCCCUCCCUGUUCAUAAUGCAGUUCCGGUGUUCCUCUACGCGGCAGCACACCCCACCAGCAAGAGCGUCAGUGCAAUACGGCGUGAGCUCGGCUACUACCGACCAAAUCACAAGGGUGUCCAAUGGGCAGGCCAGGUGCUCCCUGAUACUCUACCAGUGAAGCCGGAUGUGGGCCCAGCUCAGGUUUCUCGUGAGAGAGGAGCCACCAUGGUCGGAGCUAAACCUUUCGUCGAGAGCUACAAUGUGCCAAUAUUCUGCAAGGAUCUCCCGACCGUGAGAAGGAUCACCCAAAGGGUGACCGGACGGAGCGGAGGGUUCCCGACGGUGCAGGCGCUUGCUCUCUUCCAUGGAGACAAUUGCAUGGAGAUCGCGUGCCUGCUGGACCCAGAUCAUGUCGGAGCCGAUCAGGUUCAGUGGCUGGUGGAGCAGAUUGCAGAAGAGCAAGGGCUUGAGGUCGACAAGGGUUACUUCACCGACCUGUCCAAGGACAUGAUGCUGGAAAGGUACUUCGAGAUUGUUUCUGCAGCAGAUUGACAUGUGCAUAAUUUUCUUAUUGUGAUCAGACAUGUCUGAACUUCCGUGUAUGCUGCUGUUUAAACUGUGGCACCAACUGGACCCCAGACCGACCAAUUCCAACAUUUUGUAUAUACUUAAUAAAAUUUGCAGUGAAGAUGGUCUAUGGAAACUUCACCACAGUAAUUGGCGCAUAACAGGUCUCACUGAAUGAGAACGUUGUUUUCAGUAAUUAAAAUCUGGCAACUUGGCAAGGCAGCAUUCCUUA
rnacentral:lncRNA from 1 species